rnacentral:rRNA from 1 species
GACGAACGCUGGCGGCGUGCCUAAUACAUGCAAGUAGAACGCUGAAGGAGGAGCUUGCUUCUCUGGAUGAGUUGCGAACGGGUGAGUAACGCGUAGGUAACCUGCCUGGUAGCGGGGGAUAACUAUUGGAAACGAUAGCUAAUACCGCAUAAUAGUAGAUGUUGCAUGACAUUUGCUUAAAAGGUGCAAUUGCAUCACUACCAGAUGGACCUGCGUUGUAUUAGCUAGGUGGUGGGGUAACGGCUCACCAAGGCGACGAUACAUAGCCGACCUGAGAGGGUGAUCUGCCACACUGGGACUGGGACACGGCCCAGACUCCUACGGGAGGCAGCAGUAGGGAAUCUCCGGCAAUGGCCGGAAUGCUGACCGAGCAACGCCGCGUGAGUGAAGAAUGUUUUCGGAUCGUAAAGCUCUGUUGUAAGAGAAGAACGAGUGUGAGAGUGGAAAGUUCACACUGUGACGGUAUCUUACCAGAAAGGUACGGCUAACUACGUG